UACGUAGGUGGCGAGCGUUGUCCGGAUUUACUGGGCGUAAAGAGCGCGCAGGCGGCUGGUCAAGUCCGAUGUGAAAGCUCCCGGCUUAACUGGGAAAUUGCAUCGGAAACUGAUCGGCUGGAAGGUGGGAGAGGGUAGCGGAAUUCCCGGUGUAGAGGUGAAAUUCGUAGAUAUCGGGAGGAACACCAGUGGCGAAGGCGGCGAUCUGGGAAGAUACUGACGCUGAGGUGCGAAAGCGUGGGGAGCAAACAGGG
rnacentral:rRNA from 1 species